AACGCGUGGGAAUCUACCCUUUUCUACGGAAUAACGCAUGGAAACGUGUGCUAAUACCGUAUGAGCCCUUCGGGGGAAAGAUAUAUCGGGAAAGGAUGAGCCCGCGUUGGAUUAGCUAGUUGGUGGGGUAAAGGCCUACCAAGGCGACGAUCCAUAGCUGGUCUGAGAGGAUGAUCAGCCACAUUGGGACUGAGACACGGCCCAAACUCCUACGGGAGGCAGCAGUGGGGAAUAUUGGACAAUGGGCGCAAGCCUGAUCCAGCCAUGCCGCGUGAGUGAUGAAGGCCCUAGGGUUGUAAAGCUCUUUCACCGGUGAAGAUAAUGACGGUAACCGGAGAAGAAGCCCCGGCUAACUUCGUGCCAGCAGCCGCGGUAAUACGAAGGGGGCUAGCGUUGUUCGGAAUUACUGGGCGUAAAGCGCACGUAGGCGGACAUUUAAGUCAGGGGUGAAAUCCCAGAGCUCAACUCUGGAACUGCCUUUGAUACUGGGUGUCUAGAGUAUGGAAGAGGUGAGUGGAAUUCCGAGUGUAGAGGUGAAAUUCGUAGAUAUUCGGAGG
rnacentral:rRNA from 1 species